rnacentral:rRNA from 1 species
UGGUGGAGCGAUUUGUCUGGUUAAUUCCGAAACGAACGAGACUCUAGCCUGCUAAAUAGUGUGUGUGAUCUCCGCGUCCACACUACUUCUUAGAGGGACAGACGGCAUAUAGCCGUACGAAAUUGUGCAAUAACA